AGUGGCGGACGGGUGAGUAACGCGUGAGAAUCUGCCUUGGGGUCGGGGACAACCACUGGAAACGGUGGCUAAUACCGGAUAAGCCGAUUGGUGAAAGAUUUAUUGCCCGAAGAGGAGCUCGCGUCUGAUUAGCUAGUUGGUGAGGUAAGAGCUCACCAAGGCAGCGAUCAGUAGCUGGUCUGAGAGGACGAUCAGCCACACUGGGACUGAGACACGGCCCAGACUCCUACGGGAGGCAGCAGUGGGGAAUUUUCCGCAAUGGGCGAAAGCCUGACGGAGCAAGACCGCGUGAGGGAGGAAGGCUCUUGGGUUGUAAACCUCUUUUCUCAGGGAAGAAGCUCUGACGGUACCUGAGGAAUCAGCCUCGGCUAACUCCGUGCCAGCAGCCGCGGUAAUACGGAGGAGGCAAGCGUUAUCCGGAAUUAUUGGGCGUAAAGCGUCCGCAGGUGGCGAUUCAAGUCUGCUGUCAAAGCACGGGGCUUAACUCCUUAAAGGCAGUGGAAACUGAAUAGCUAGAGUGCCGUAGGGGUAGAGGGAAUUCCCGGUGUAGCGGUGAAAUGCGUAGAGAUCGGGAAGAACAUCGGUGGCGAAAGCGCUCUACUGGACGGCAACUGACACUCAGGGACGAAAGCUAGGGGAGCGAAUGGGAUUAGAUACCCC
rnacentral:rRNA from 1 species